UUGCUGGUUUGCACCCUGGCCCGGUACUGGCAGGCACUGGCUUGGGGUGGGGGGCGGGAGGGUUGGGCAAGGGGAGACCGAGGAAAAGGCAACCGCUCCAGAAAAAUGACAUCAGUCAUGGCCAGGAGGAAGACUACACAGAGAUGUUUAGAAGACUGAACAGCGACUUGUAAAGAUACUGAAGGGGACGAGGGCUUCGGAGGGCUGGGACCAGCGACUGGCAGGACAGCUGCUCCCUAAGCCUGGUAGAAGCUUCACCAUUGUCAUUCUUGUCACCCUCGGCAGGAAGCUUAUUGUCAUCCUGUUACUGAAGCCUAGCGUUUCUAACCCAGCGAUGUCUCUUAAAUCAGGUACCAAAAACAUGAACUUGGUUUCAAUUCUCCCCCCAUUCUCAAGCCCAGGGGCAUUACUUGAUAUUCUUCCUGGAGGGCAGCAACGCAGCGCACCACGUUGGAGAGUUACAUCCCCAGAGAAAGGCACAGACAGAUAUUUGGUUACAACUGUUACCUCCCAAGUCAAUAGUUGUUAUUUGUCUUUUGCUCUGAGGCUUAAUGACAAUUAGAUUGAACAAAGCAGCCACUGGAGGACACUGCACCCGCUAAAGCUGCUGCCUGAUGCAAAAGCACACCAUCCGAAGGCUAGCUAGAGCCAUUCUCUAUGACACUGUAAGGAUGAACACAGGACACUGUAUCUGUCAGAAGCCUGCAGAACUUCACUGCACAAAGGAUGAUCCUUCACGUAUGCAAAUCUGAACAGAUCAUUUAGGAGGCUCGAGGAUCCCAGGAUGGGAUGGAGUAUGGGACAGAAGAACCUAACAGCAUUACAUGUGUAUGCAACAACAUCACUAAAGGGGCAGUUGGGGAGUGGGGGUAGGGAUGGCGAUGGGGAAGGUGUUGCCAAUACCCACAUCAAGUACUUCUCCUGUGACUGUGGGCACCACGGACAUACACGGUGUCUUUUGAGCAACACCUGUAUUGAA